CUCCUUCAUCUGGCAGUGAGAUGUAGGGCAAAGUGGAAGAGCUCUGGGGUUAGUCGGACAGGGACUUAACCGCAUCACAGCUAAGUAACUUGAGAAAAUGAUUCAACUGAGACUACUUAGAGAACAAGUUAGCUGAGUGGAUGCACAAAAGUGCCUGGCACAGAGAGGGCACUCUCGAAACAGACACUCUCGAAACAGCGGACACCAUCUCUCCAUCAAAAUAUACGUUGUUUCUUAGGGUGUUAUGUGCCCGUGUGGGAAGCUCCAGCCGUUUAAAACUUACAUGAAUCUUCUCCAAGCUACAUGCCAGUGUUCCACAAGACUGACCUGCAUGGUUCCAUUUGCAUCCAGAGACCUACCAGGACAUACUGUGCAUGAUAAAUCCAUCACCUGCGGCUGGCUAAAGCUGGGGU